GUGAUUGCUUUGGCAGCACGUAUACUAAAAAUGGAAUGAUAACAGAGAAGAUUAGCAUGGCUUCUGCUCAAGGAUAAUGAGCAAAUUUGUGUUCUAUUUUU
rnacentral:snRNA from 1 species